UACACCCUCCUUUCCACGCGGUACAGAACCCUCGAGGGGGGCCUCGCGGAUUUGGGAGGAACGACACCACGCCGCCGCCGCCUGCUCACCGCGCCGCCGCUCGAUUCCUACUCAACACGCCGUCGAACGACAUCUCUACGCUGGCGUACCUCCUCCUCCAUACUGGCCUUCUCCUCGGUGGAUGGAUAGAUUACUUCAAAAGGAAUUUAUCGCCGUGUGCAGCAGAGCUUGGCGAAGGUUGAGAAGUGGAACAAAGCACGGGAAGAAUGGGACGUUUGCAGGGUCCCUCGAAAUCGUCUGUUUGAGUCUCGUCAGUUGCUUUUGUGUCGGCGCUAUUGUUGUCAGCAUGCUUAUGUACGCAUGUCUUAUGUAUUCUCAGCAUGCUUAAAUGUACGCAUGCCUUUCCUCGGACUUGUGAAUGCUGAAAACGUACGAGAUAUUUUUGGUUCCAAGUCAUGCUGA